GGGCGGCUCGGUGCAGCCCACCCGCUCGCCGGGCAGCGCCGCGCAGGCGCGCUGCUCCCGCCCCGCCGCCGCUCCACAGGUCCUAGCGCCGGCCGCGCCGCCGCCCCGACCCCCGCGGUCCCUCGGCCGCCACAUCGAGUACUUCCGUACUGGUGCCGGGGCAGGGCUCCCUGCUCCGGUACCCCCGGGUGGAGGAAGAGCGCCCUCCGCUCACAUCCUGGUUCACAAAGAAUGCUGAGAGAAGUUUCACAUCUACAGAAAACAUGUUUCUGCCUUGCAAGGAGCUUGAAGAACAGCAGGGAGAUGGUGGUGUGGAAGGGAAGUAACAGAGGGACUAAGCAGAACCAUUCAAGAAGGAGCAGACGGAAACAGCUGCCAGCAGAUGAGUACUGGAAAGGAUUCAAGCCACAGUACUUGCUGGAACUUGGGAGUUUGUGAUGGCCUGAGCUUACCCAAUGACAGAUAUCUUAAGAUUUAGAACCAGACAGCUAUCACUCGGUUCUUUGCUAUGAGGACAAAAAAACUGUUGUGGAACAAGAGACAUGUUCUUGGCAUUUUCUGAACAAGCCACUGGAGCUUGUUUCUCAGAGAAGUCCUGUGGUGAGAGGAAUCUGUAAGCUGUGGUUGUUCAUAGUACUAAAGAUAAAAGAAAACUGCUAAUGUAUUUUCGUGAAUGUGUGUGUCCCAUAAUUUAUUCAUUCAAAGUAGUGGUUUCUCUUGACCUUGAGCUAAGAUUUAACAGGUAGGGAAAAGAUAAAUUUAGGAAAUCUGGUGACACAAUGCUGAUACUUUUAUGUCUUCUUGCAUAUUUUCUAGCAUACCAUGAAGAAUAUUAAAUAGCAAAAGCUAACGUGUCCUUGGCAAACAAACAAACAAAAUAGCACCCUGCAAUUUUUUUUACCUUUGCUUCCCCUCACCACAUGCACUUUUUACUCCCACAGAGCUUGAAAUAUUAACCCAGCAUGCUAAUUUAUUUCUUCCAGAGUUGCUCUGGCCACUGGCUUUAACGUCUCUCUUGGAAGUACUUCAAACCAAAUGGCUGGCUCUAUCUCUAGCUUUGUUAAUUAGGCACAUUACUUUGUUGCUUUUUUCAUAUCGUUUAAUGUAAUUGGCAUUUAUGAAGCUUUUGAAAGGCAUGUUUGGGACUUCAUUUUGUGCAGCUGGCUUUAAAGUGCAGGCUGUUUCACGUGUCUAGUUCUGUAGAGGACAGUCUUUUGAGAGCGCAGAGUAUGUGUGCUCAGCACAUACCGUACUUCCCCUCCAAAAGGAAUGAAGUGACCAGUACAACACAUGUUCCUCCCUGCAUACAUUUGUACUUCUAUGAUAUUGUAUCUGUAAUAUGAGCGUUACAUGCCCUGUUUGAAGAAUAGGACUCCCUCUACAAGCUGUUAUAUAAAUGCAUUACUAGAAGAUAGUCUUCAUCCUAACCGACUUUAGGCAACUUAUAGGGAUAUCUUGCCAUAUAGGCACAAAAGCCUGUGUUUUUUUCACGUAGAAGGACAUCUUUGCAAGCCAGGAAUUUGGACUUGCUGUGCUAAUUCCAACAGAUAAGGAUAGCAAUAUUGUGUCAACUACCAAUAAAAAUGAUGAAUUUACACUACGUAGGAAUUCACCUCAUUCAUUUCAGUUGUCUUGGUGUGAAAUGAGACUCUGUACCUGAAUUGAGGAAGACUUGGAUAUAAAAGUUUAGGGAAAAAAGAAACCAACAACCCACAUGUAUGCACUAAAGGAAUUAUGUCCAUGUCCUCUUUUUUAUAGAAAUGCUGCCCUCCAGUGGUCUGGAAAAAACCCCAUACAUAUUGCUUAUUGAUUGCAAUAAUGUAGUUUCCACUCGAACUGCAGCAAGUAGCAAUAAAAUGUACCUCUUAGUUUCAUAGGCACAUGGAUUGUCUAGGCUUCAGCCUCACGAAACCCACAGGUGGCAUAAGACCAAGUCAAGACAUUUGUAACAAAAAGGUAUUGCUUUACCAGUACAGGCCCAGGGACUCUCUUCUGUAAGCAGCUGACUAAAAACAAACUCUCAAAAAUGGCAGGAUUGUAAUAGUCUGCCUCACAGCGACAGUCGAAACCCCUGACUUGAAACAGAAUCAUAGGUAAGAAAAUGACCAUGAUUUGGAUGAAUGGGUCUUGCAGGACAUUUGUUCCCAAAUGUGAUGGAUUGUCACUGAAAAACAUGGCCCAACAGUCAGUCAGACACAGAGUUCUGCACACACUGGCUGUCAUUGAAUCAUGAGGAUCCUUCUGUCCUCACAGAGCAUGAAUCCCAAGCCACAGAUAAAAUACAAGUUCUCCAGGUUUUGUCUUUCAGUCAGCCAAGUGCAUUCAUUUUAGGAUUCAAAAGUAAAGCAUUAAUGUGAAAGAAACGAAUGUUUAAUGGCCAGAGUAUAAGGUAGAUGAUCUUUAGGUAUGUUGCCUCUAUGCUUGCUUACCUCUCCCUUCUGUGGCUUCAAAUGGUCUUGCCAAAUAUGCAAGACUGUUUCUCAGCUUGUUCUUUCUACACCUGCAUGUUAGGUGGGAGUUACCUUGCAUGCCAAGAUGAUUUGCUUCCUACUGAGGGACUUGGCCAGCAGAGAAUCGCAUAAUGGUCCCACUGUCAUCAUCUGUUCCUGUGCAUCUGUGCCACCUGCCUUCUGUGAAAUCAAUGGGAGACCAUUACAAAGUUGGACUUCGAUGAAGAUGUUGAGGGGCCACUCCAGCCUCAGAGUCCCCUCCAAUCCAUGGGAGCCUGGCCUGCUCCAGAGAGUGGUCCUGUGCCUUGACACUGACUCACCAUCCACCAUGGUCACAAGCACUCAGAUGAGGAAUGAAUCUCCCUGGCUGCUACCUGCCCUCCGCCUCUGGCUUUGAGUAAGACAGCAAGCUCAGAACAUGCCUCUGCCCCAGGAGGAAGGAGAAGCAAGUGCGUUCUUGCUCUCCUCACGACACAAGGCCACUCACUCCUCUGCAUGGAGCACUGAUCUUUAAGGCCCCCACAACUAAAGGAGUGGGAGACAUUCCCAUGGAAUUAGCUGUUCCCCCUUUCUUUUUCCUGCUUAAGAGGUAAGAGCUGCACAAAUUCCUUCUUUAAUAGUCACCUAAGAGAGAAUACAAUGACUGCUCUUGUCAUCACGUAUUUAGAGCUGAUGACAAUAUCAAAGUUGGCUUUCAGGGUGUUUUGGGGUUUUUGGUUUGGGUUUUUUUUUUUUUAAU